AGGGUUUGGAAUUAGGGUUUGAAAUUUUAUAAAAAAUAAAUACUAAAAUAAAAAAUAAAAAUUUUAAAAACAGUUUCAAAAAGUAUUUUUAAAUUAUAAAAAGAAAAUUUGAAAAAAAAAAUUUUGAAAAAAAAAGUUUCAAAAGAAAAUAUUAUAAAAAUUUCGAAUCUGAAAACAUAUAAUCUGAAUCUAUAAAAAAAAAUUCAUUAUUUUUUAUUUUUAUUUUAUUUAUUUUUGUUUUUUAUUUAAUUUUAAACCAAGGGUAUUAGGGAUAUUUUACCCUUUAAUGAAUGUCAUUUUUGUGACUUUUUCCUUCUAGUGCUAUUUUUGAGACAUAAACUUCAAAAGGUGUUAUUAUUGACAAUUGCCCCAAGUUAUACUCAUUGAUGAAAUUGUCAAGUGUAUAAAAAAGGACAGAAACUCAAUAAAUUGAAUUAUUAUUUUUGGAAAGGCAAUGCCAAUAUUAUAAUAUUGUACCAACGCAUAACAUUUAUAAAACACAUGGUAUCUUGAAGAUGUAUAUCAGUACAUAUGUGGUCAUGAAAAUACUUAACGUCAAUUUCUAUUUUUAUUUUUAUUUUUUUUAAAAGGGCUUCUUAACGUCCAUUUCUUGUUAUUGCUUUUCUCUUUUAUCUUUGGAGUUUUUGCAAAAUUGACCUACAACUUAAAGUCAAACACAAAACUAACCUCCUUUUUUUUUGAAAAUUGGUUUUGCCCUAUUCACCCCACAAGUUCAUAUAAUUUACGAAAAUGCCAUCAAUUUUUUUUUUUUUUUUUUUUCGAAAAUGACAUUUUUACUCUCUCACCCUCAUCAUCUUCAAGUAAUUACAAGAUUGUCAUUAUCAUCAAUACCACAACCACCAUGAACAACCAAUUUGAAGCUCUUAAUGCUCCCAAAAUCGAUUUACCCUUCUUCUUUUUCUAUUCUUGUGAACUAAACACAACAUAUCUCUAACUUUCUCUCCACAAUGAGCUAAAAAAACCCAAGAUUUUGAUUCUAAAAUUUUUAUGGUUCAUAAAGUCAUAGAAGCUAACGAUUAUGGGUGGGUGACUUUCGUUUGUGAUUCUGUGUGCUUGGAGAAGCCUUAUGUAUGCUAAGGAACUUAUCUCACCAAUUUAAGGUAUGAAAUCGAGUUUUUUUCCAGAUCUGUUCGUCAGACGACUUACUUGGGAAGUCGUCUCGCUGUAGACGACUUACCUUUCAGUCGUCUGGCUGUAGACGACUUACCUGGAAGUCGUCUGGUCAACGCAGAGGUUAUUUUUGCAAUUGACUUUGAAAUCUG
rnacentral:lncRNA from 1 species